rnacentral:rRNA from 1 species
UACGGAGGGUGCGAGCGUUAUCCGGAAUCACUGGGUUUAAAGGGUGCGUAGGUGGCUUAAUAAGUCAGCUGUGAAAUGUCUGGGCUUAACCGAGGCAUUGCGGUUGAUACUGUUAGGCUUGAAUCAAGUUGAGGUGGCUAGAAUGUGACAUGUAGCGGUGAAAUGCAUAGAUAUGUCAUAGAAUACCAAUUGCGGAGGCAGGUUGCUAGACUUUGAUUGACACUGAGGCACGAAAGCGUGGGGAUCAAACAGG